ensembl:lncRNA
UUCCGGUUACAUGUGAGGAAAAAAAAAUGCCCUUGAGAACAGACUCAAGUUCAUAAAUGAAACAAGUACAUUAAAUUCAGUUGUGAGGCAUUGUGGUAGUGUACAUAUGUCUGUGUGAAGGAACAGAGUAAAUCAGGCCGACCAUCAAAAUGGUUCUUGCCUGUUGACCUAGCUGGGAGUUUCCCCCACCAAUGUUUUUGAGAACUGUAAACAGGCUGUGAGGGAAAAUCGUAGUGAAAUGUGAUUGUUCUUGGAGGCUUUGAGAAGAACAGAGAUUCUGAGCUUAAAAGCCUGGACAAGAGCAGUUCCUUGUACAUUUCACUGGAUACAAGGAAGCCACUGAGGUUUGGAACAACAUGAGGUCGGUUCAUAGUUCAUCCAGUCACAUGAAUCAUAGUGUGUCCAGACUCCAGCGACUGCCUUAUGUAAGUGCCGUGGGCUGGACCCUCCCAGCAGGACGGCGGGAGAAGUACAUGAGCCUGAGGAUUCUAGUGCCCAAAGCCUGUGCUGAUAUGAGUAUAUGAGAACAAUAAAUCCAUUGCUAUUCUUGGACAGGCUGUGGCGUGUCAUUCUUUAUAAGCUGAUAUUACACUCCUCCAUGGCAGUUGUUCCCUCUGAUUGCUUUCAGCGCUCUCUGCAAUUGUGUAUCAUUCUAUCAUUCCGUAAGUAAACAUUGGGAG